rnacentral:rRNA from 1 species
UACGUAGGGGGCGAAGCGUUGUCCGGAGUUACUGGGCGUAAAGCGCACGCAGGCGGUCUGCUAAGUUUGGGAGUGAACAGUUCGGUGGCUUAACUGCCAAAGGUGCUUCGAAAACUCGAACAGACUUGAGGGCUUCAGAGGGACACGGAAUGCCGGGUGGAGUCGGAUGAAAUGCGUAAGAGAUCCGGAGGGAACACCAAAGGCGGAAGGCAGUGUCCUGGGGAGGUACCUGACGCUCAGGUGACGAAGACCAGGGAGGCGAACGGG